rnacentral:lncRNA from 1 species
AUGCGUCUUUGGGUAGUUUUUGAGCACUGAUUUAACUAUGCCAGCCAACUCACUCCAUUUCUUCUCAUCAACACAUCUGAAAUGCACUGAUAGACAAAACUUAUUGUUUUCCACUUUUGCCCCUGCUGUGGAUUGUGUUUUCUCCAUGAGUAUCCCAUAAACCUCAUCAAUCAUGGGUAGAUAUUCGCUCGCGGGUUGGCAAAGAACACUCGGAGAACUCUGCAAAUCACCAACAAAUUUGUAAAUUUUCAUGGAGGAGAUUCAAGUGUUUGCAGCAUAUAAAGUGAAGUGACUCACUUUCUUGUUUUUUGACCCUGUACAUGGGCCUCUAAUGUCCAUCCCAUGGCUUCCGGCAUAGUAGAGCUCGGCUAGUUUGACAAAAUUGUACACCUUGUCUCGGCAUCUUCCGCUAACGAUUGCAGUCGGAAAGAACCCGGCGAGUUUUCUGACGGUUGCUCGCAUCUAAUGAUGAUGUGAAAAUCAAUGUGUAAGUAUGUAUAUGGAUGUUCAAAAAACUCGCAGUCUAUUUCGUUUUUUGUAAGCGAGUCAAGCUGAGCUCGAGCCAUGGUAAUGACGGUAAGGUCAAUUCAACGACGAGUUUAAAUUAAAUUUAAAGCCCGAAUU